UACGAAGGGGCUAGCGUUGCUCGGAAUCACUGGCGUAAAGCGCACGUAGGCGGAUUGUUAAGUCAGGGUGAAGUCCUGGAGCUCAACUCCAGAACUGCCUUGAUACUGGCGAUCUUGAGUCCGGAGAGGUGAGUGGAACUGCGAGUGUAGAGGUGAAAUUCGUAGAUAUUCGCAAGAACACCAGUGGCGAAGGCGGCUCACUGGCCCGGUACUGACGCUGAGGUGCGAAAGCGUGGGAGCAAACAGG
rnacentral:rRNA from 1 species